rnacentral:misc_RNA from 1 species
CGGGCUCGCUGGUCUCGCAGAGAAGAAGCACGGAGGAAGAAGAAAAGAAGCAGCAGGAAGUGAUUCCGGGAAGAGGAGCGCCUUUUUUAAAUUUUUACUUAAAGGACAAAAUGGUCCAUUCACUAAAAUUGUUGUGUGCACCUA